rnacentral:lncRNA from 1 species
CCCUUAAGUAAACAUCCACAGAUGGCAGCUGGCGACAUUGCGCCGUCGCCGCGCACCUCAAAUCAAAUGCUCAGUUAUACAACAUACUUCCUAUCCACCGAACCUCCAGGAUUCCACCGCCACCGUCCGUUCUUGGCAACAACCAGAGGGACCACCGCCAAAAAAAUUAAUAAUAAUAAUAAUAAUAAUAAUAAUAAUAAUAAUAAUAAUAAUAAUAAUAAAUAAUAAUAUAAUAAUAAUAAUAAUAAUAAAAUAGCCGCAGUCACAGCUCGUCAAACUCGCCCCCUCAUUCCUCUUUUUCUCUAACUGCUCUAGGUACUCCGGCGACAUCCCAUGGAAAAUCGAGCCACAUCGAGUUGGGAUAACACUCGAAGAGAAAAGAGGGAGCCGCCACUUCAGUUUCAACUCCUAGCAAAAUCGCCGGAGUAUCUCACCUUCUCUGUCGUCUCCCAUUCAAUAUCAGUCACCGCCGUGACGCCGUCGCCUAUUGAACGGCAGCGCCACCCAGAUCCCCAAAUCGAAACCGCCGCUGCCUCCUCUUAUCCUCUCUUCUCCCCCGCACACGCGCACGGCGAACCUUCACCUCUCUCUUCAGCCGGAAACCACCACGGUGGCUCCUCCUCUGGCGAAGCAAUGAACGACCACCGUUCAUCCAACAGCUAGACCACACCUGAAAAGCCCGACGCCCCGUCGCCGCUCCCUCCGUCCUCCGGCGGCCAAUCUACAGCCGAUGCCCUCUUCCUCCCACAAUCUUCUCUUCACCCUCUACAAACCUCAGAAAACCACAAAUCCCUCGCAGAAAACCAUAGAUCCGCCACCUUCUUCUCCAUCGAUUAUCCGGCGAAGGACGUUGCCUCCGACCACCGCUCGCCCGACGACCACAGCCCCUGAGCCGCGCUUGAAAAACUCUAGGCACCAAUCGCCGUUCGAUCUCCUCUCAUCCAGCUGUCUGAACUGCUUCUGCUGGACGGAAAGAAAGAGGCGAGAGAGAGAGAAUAAGAC